AAAAUGGUUAGGGGGCUGGGGCACAUGACUUAUGAGGAGAGACUGAGGGAACUGGGAUUAUUUAUUCUGAAGAAGAGAAGACUGAAGGGGGAUUUAACAACAGCCUACCUGAAAUGGGUGGAUAUUUGUUUUGCAACCAUCAUGAUGAAAUUCACUUGCUGGAAAGAGUCAUGAUGCUUCCUCUGAUCCUGCUUUGAAUAUAGAAGAUUCCUCUGAUGGAGACAGUAUGGUGG